UAGGGAAUCUUCCACAAUGGGCGAAAGCCUGAUGGAGCAACGCCGCGUGUGUGAUGAAGGGAUUCGGCUCGUAAAACACUGUUGUAAGAGAAGAAUGACAUUGAGAGUAACUGUUCAAUGUGUGACGGUAUCUUACCAGAAAGGAACGGCUAAAUACGUGCUAG
rnacentral:rRNA from 1 species